rnacentral:rRNA from 1 species
GUUCCUACGGGGCGCAGCAGUAGGGAAUCUUCCACAAUGGACGAAAGUCUGAUGGAGCAACGCCGCGUGAGUGAAGAAGGGUUUCGGCUCGUAAAGCUCUGUUGGUAGGGAAGAAAGAUAGAGGUAGUAACUGGCCUUUAUUUGAUGGUAAUUAAUUAGAAAGUCACGGCUAACUACGUGCCAGCAGCCGCGGGAAUAGGUAGGUGGCAAGCGGUGUCCGGAGUUAUUGGGGGUAAAGCGGGUGCAGGCGGGU